rnacentral:rRNA from 1 species
ACGCUCGACACCUACGGGAGGCAGCAGUGAGGAAUAUUGGUCAAUGGGCGCUAGCCUGAACCAGCCAAGUAGCGUGAAGGAUGAAGGCUCUAUGGGUCGUAAACUUCUUUUAUAUAAGAAUAAAGUGCAGUAUGUAUACUGUUUUGUAUGUAUUAUAUGAAUAAGGAUCGGCUAACUCCGUGCCACAGCCGCGGUAAUCUGAGCGGCUGGCAGC